rnacentral:rRNA from 1 species
AAAUUGAAGAGUUUGAUCAUGGCUCAGAUUGAACGCUGGCGGCAGGCCUAACACAUGCAAGUCGAACGGUAACAGGAAGCAGCUUGCUGCUUCGCUGACGAGUGGCGGACGGGGGAGUAAUGUCUGGGAAACUGCCUGAUGGAGGGGGAUAACUACUGGAAACGGUGGCUAAUACCGCAUAACGUCGCAAGACCAAAGAGGGGGACCUUCGGGCCUCUUGCCAUCAGAUGUGCCCAGAUGGGAUUAGCUUGUUGGUGAGGUAACGGCUCACCAAGGCGACGAUCCCUAGCUGGUCUGAGAGGAUGACCAGCCACACUGGAACUGAGACACGGUCCAGACUCCUACGGGAGGCAGCAGUGGGGAAUAUUGCACAAUGGGCGCAAGCCUGAUGCAGCCAUGCCGCGUGUAUGAAGAAGGCCUUCGGGUUGUAAAGUACUUUCAGCGGGGAGGAAGGUGUUGUGGUUAAUAACCACAGCAAUUGACGUUACCCGCAGAAGAAGCACCGGCUAACUCCGUGCCAGCAGCCGCGGUAAUACGGAGGGUGCAAGCGUUAAUCGGAAUUACUGGGCGUAAAGCGCACGCAGGCGGUCUGUCAAGUCGGAUGUGAAAUCCCCGGGCUCAACCUGGGAACUGCAUUCGAAACUGGCAGGCUUGAGUCUUGUAGAGGGGGGUAGAAUUCCAGGUGUAGCGGUGAAAUGCGUAGAGAUCUGGAGGAAUACCGGUGGCGAAGGCGGCCCCCUGGACAAAGACUGACGCUCAGGUGCGAAAGCGUGGGGAGCAAACAGGAUUAGAUACCCUGGUAGUCCACGCCGUAAACGAUGUCUACUUGGAGGUUGUGCCCUUGAGGCGUGGCUUCCGGAGCUAACGCGUUAAGUAGACCGCCUGGGGAGUACGGCCGCAAGGUUAAAACUCAAAUGAAUUGACGGGGGCCCGCACAAGCGGUGGAGCAUGUGGUUUAAUUCGAUGCAACGCGAAGAACCUUACCUGGUCUUGACAUCCACAGAACUUUCCAGAGAUGGAUUGGUGCCUUCGGGAACUGUGAGACAGGUGCUGCAUGGCUGUCGUCAGCUCGUGUUGUGAAAUGUUGGGUUAAGUCCCGCAACGAGCGCAACCCUUAUCCUUUGUUGCCAGCGGUUAGGCCGGGAACUCAAAGGAGACUGCCAGUGAUAAACUGGAGGAAGGUGGGGAUGACGUCAAGUCAUCAUGGCCCUUACGACCAGGGCUACACACGUGCUACAAUGGCGCAUACAAAGAGAAGCGACCUCGCGAGAGCAAGCGGACCUCAUAAAGUGCGUCGUAGUCCGGAUUGGAGUCUGCAACUCGACUCCAUGAAGUCGGAAUCGCUAGUAAUCGUGGAUCAGAAUGCCACGGUGAAUACGUUCCCGGGCCUUGUACACACCGCCCGUCACACCAUGGGAGUGGGUUGCAAAAGAAGUAGGUAGCUUAACCUUCGGGAGGGCGCUUACCACUUUGUGAUUCAUGACUGGGGUGAAGUCGUAACAAGGUAACCGUAGGGGAACCUGCGGUUGGAUCACCUCCUUACCUUAAAGAA